AUGUCGGACGUGCCGGCGAGCCCGCCGGGCGGCGGCUUCGGCGGUGUCAGGGAGCAGGACAGGUUCCUUCCCAUCACCAACAUCAGCAGCAUCAUGAAGAAGGCCAUCCUGGCCAACGGCAAGAUCGCCAAGGACGCCAAGGAGACCGUGCAGGAGUGCAUCUUGGAGUUCAUUGCUUCAUCGCCAGCGAGUGAGUCGAGCGACAAGUGCCAGAGGGAGAAGUGCAAGACCAUCAAUAUCGAUGACCUGCUCUAG
rnacentral:rRNA from 1 species